GCACCAAAAUAAACCGAAACCGAAUCGAACCGAUCCGCCGGCUAAAUGAAAUAAUUUCAACCCGAACCGCUUCAAACCGAACCGAUUCAAACCAUGUCUAACCGAACCGCGAAACCGAAUUCAUACCCCUGCUCUCUUCUCUCCUCUCUUUUCUACGCUCAUCAAUUUUUUUUUCUUCCAUUUCCAUUUUCUCUCUCAUCCUCUUCCACCUAUUCCUCAAUUGAAGCAACUUCAGAGGUAAGAUGGUUUCUGUUUGGGGUUUUCGCUCAGACCUAAAAUCAAGUUUUUAGUAAUCAUUCUACGCUCAUCGUUAUUUCUUGAAACUGGAAGCAACUUUAGAGGUAAGAUGGUUUCUGUUUGAGGACUUAGACCGCAAAUUGUCAUACUUGGCAAAUUAGACCGCGCAAAAAUGACAAUUUGGUAAUCUAGGAUCCUGAUGGGUUUGGUGUAACUGGACUUAAAAGAGGAGUUAAAAAUGAAGGAAUUUCUCCACAGAUUGAAGAAAAAGGAAGCCCUUGGGGGUUUCAAAUAUUGAAUCAAUGGAAGCUAAUGCUGACCAAUCAGCUAAAUGGCACGAUCCCAAAUGGACCUGUUUUAAGGAAUUGAGCUUAAAGUUUGAAUCUUGGAUGGAGUGGUUCCUAUGGGUGUAGAUGUUGCCAUUGAUCUUCCGGGGCUUUUGUACCAUCAGGGCUCAGAAUGGAAAGAGGAAGCUGAAAAUUUGGAGCGUGAACUUCAGCAAUGUUACAAAGUUCUAUCUCUGAGCAGCUUGUGGUUCAAGUUGCUGAGGGAUGAUCUGCGAAAGCUUUGAUUCAAGAGAAACUGCUAUAGCUAACUUGGAAAAGGAGGUUACUCACCUCAGCGAUGAGAACUCUGAGUUGAAGAGCUAUUAGAUGAGAAGAUUAAGGGUGAAGAAUUGCUGACAAGUGAGAACCAAGAGCUAAAAAACAACUUGAUGAGAUCAGUAUGAAAAAAAAGGAGAGAAAUUAUUAAAAUCUGGUAUUUGGGAUGGAAGUUGCAAGAGAUUUUUGGGCAAGUUUUGUAUUGUCACUUAUUUUCUUCAAUUUCUUGCCGUUUUAGUGAUGGAUUUUUGUGGGUUUGUGGAACUUUGUAUUUUAAUAGUAAUGGGUUUGUCGAAAUUGUUGAUAUGGUGGAUGAAAGUUGGGGAAUAUCUUUUAGUUAGUGUUGAAUAUCUUAUAUUUGUGUAUAUGAUUCGCUCUAAAGAUGCCAUUUUCUGAGUUGGGUAUUCGUUGAUGUUGAGUUGGAUUGGUUCAAUCCAUGUAGCUAUGUUGUACAGUACAACGGUGGAGACGUGGGCUGGAAUGGAGGUGACCAGCAUCCGCUGGUUUUGGAUAGUGUACAUCAAAGGGUGAUGAUUUUGCAGAAUGGGGUUUUAAAGGAAGUCCAUCAGUGAUGUCACCUGCGAUAUCUUCAAGAUUGUUGAGUUUACUGUGCUUCUACUGCUCCAUCUACGAGCCCUGGUCAGGUUGUCAUUCGAUUAUUCUUUUUUCGGCGGUGAGUGUUCACAACUAAUCUCGAAAUUCAUUUUGUGCACUUGUCCAUUUUGAACAUUAUUAUUAAGUUAGUUACUUCACAGCUACCCCCCCAAUUUAUCUUCUAUGAUUCAGCUAAAACCUCAGCUGAUGAAAAGUAUGCGAUGAUUUUGAUGUUUGAAGUAGUUUAAAUUAAUGUAUAUUGUUCACAAUAGAAACUAUCAUUAUAUUCUUAAAUAAGCUGAUCAAGACUAAGCUCCCCAAAUAAAUGAUCGACUGUAUACAUGGGUCCACUGUAAAUUGUGGUAAAAUGAAGUUUGUGCUUAAGAAGAAUUGGUUCUUUAUUGAAUAUCCAUUCCCAAAGGUAUGCUAUAUAUGAAAAUUUGUUACAGAGAAUACUCAGAUCUAAAUGCUUUUUUUUUUGUUUUAAAAAAAUUAUGGUGGGUGAGUGGUGUUGAGGGAGUUUGGUGGAGUAUGCUGGUGGCUAUUAUUAUUUAUUGAUUUUAAUGUGAUAAUAGUAUAGAAGAUGAAUGAAAUUAGUGUCAUAUUAUGCUAAUUAUUCUAAUGAUUUGGUACUUUGUAUGUUUUAGUUAUGAAUUUGUAUGUUGUUAGUGUGAAAAGUAAAUUUGACCGUUAAAAGUUCAUGAAAAAUUGUCUGUAUUGUUUUGGCUUUGAUAAUUAGUGUUUUGGCUUUAAUAAUUGACCCCGUCCUCUCCUCUUGUAUAGCUAUAGUUCACUGUUAUUGUCUUCCUCUCCUAGCUACUAAUAUAUCAAUUACUAUUUCAGAUAUUGUAGUUGUUUGUUCUGCUGUCCCAAAGAUGAACUUAGAUGCUAAGAAAACAUUUUUUUGUUUUUGUUUUGUUAAUUUCACCCUAAGACCUUUUAAAUUGUUUUGUUUUCUGUCCAUAUAACUACACUUCUAUAAUGAAAAUUGCUUAGUUGUGUAUUAUUUAAGUUGGUUAAUAGAUCGUAAAAUUUUACGAUCCGAAUCGCAAUUUUAAUAACAUUGGUGUAACCGAAUCAUAUAUUUAUAGGCUAUAUUAUGCCCUUAUCGUUUAGUUUUAAAGUAUUGACAUUCAUUGUCCUUGGAUGCUUUAAAGUGUAAUAUGAUUUUAAUUUUGCAAAGUCUAAUUAUAUUUUAAUUUAAAAGUGUAAGUGUAACCCAUUGUGAAAAUAUUUUUCAUUGAAAAUGUUUAUGGCUUUUUGAUGAAAGGAUGACCUAUUAUCCAAAAGGUCUUAGCUUUUUGAUGUGAGGAUAGUCUAUUAUCCAAUGAUUAUGAGUUUUGAGUGAUGAAUAACCUAUUAAGCACCAAUUAUUAGCUUUGUUCAUUCAAUUUUGCGUCCUAUGUAUUAUUGAGCAAACUAUUUUAAGGGUAAUGUAAUUUGUGUAUUAUUUUUAAGGGUGCUUAAAUUUUGUAGGGGUGAGCAAACUUAGGAGUGAACAAUUUUUUUACAGGUAAGGGAAUUUAGUGGUGAAAAAUUUGUAUAUGAUUUUUAAGGAUGAGCACAUUCUUUAGAAGUGAGCAAACUAUUUUUAUAUUUUGGGCGAGCUCAUUAUUUUGAGAUGUACAAAUUUUUUACCGGUUGUGUUUUGUUUCUUUUUUUCAUUAAAAUGCGUCUCUUUGAACUUUUACAUUUGUCGAGGCACAACUUUGACCACAAUGUCUUUAAUUAGAUAUUAGUUAAAAAAUAUAACAAAACUAUACUAUGAAAGUAGACAUUGUAAUAGAUCUAACAACAUAUUACAUGACCAUGUUUACAAAUUAUAUAGUAAAAAAAAUUAAGUUAAAUGUAACAUAUGAAUAGUGUAAAAUCUCAAGUGAUGUAAUUUUUUUUACAAAAAAAAAUUAAACGGAGAGAGUAUUUUUGGGUUAUUAAUUUUAUUUAGAGGUGAUGAAUUCUACAUGAUUUUAAAGGGUGAGCAAAUUAUUUAGGGGGAGAGCGAACUAUUAGGAGUGAGCAUGCAAUUUAUUUAGGGGUGAGGUAAUUGUAUAUUUUUUCUAGGGGUGAGCAAAUUAUCUAAGAAUGAGGUACGUAAUUGUAUGUGAUUUUUAAGUGUGAGCAAAUUGUUUAUGGGAGCGCAAACUAUUAAGGGAUUUAAGGGUGAACAAUUUAUUUAGAAGUGAAGUAAUUGUAUAUGUUUUUUAGGGGUGAGCAAAUUAUUUAGGGGUAGGCGAGCAAUUUAUUUAAGGGUGAGGCACAUAAUUGUAUGUGAUUUUUAGGGGUGAGCAAAUUAUUUAGGAGUAGGUGAGAAAUUUAUUUAAGGGUGAGGUACGUAAUUGUUUGUAAUUUUUAGGGGUGAGUUAUUUUUUAAGAGGUGAACAACUUACUUAAGGGCGAGGUAAGUGUAUAUGGCUUUUAGAGGUGAGCAAAUUAUGUAAAGGUAAGCAAAAUAUAUAUAUGAGUGAGCAAAUUAUUGUGUGGUGAGGUAAUUUGUUUAUUAUUUUUAGAGGUGAGCAAAUUUUGUAGUGACGGGGUAAGCAAUUUAUUUAAGGGUGAGGUAAUUGUAUACUCCCUCUGUCCCACUUUACUUGCAACAUUUUAACUGGACAUGUUUAUCGAUGCAUAUGUUUGACCGUCAAUAUUUUUUAUUAUAUACUUAUAUAAGCUAUACAAAAAUUAUAUUAAGAAACUAUAUAUUAAAAUAGACCCAACAACAUCUUACAUGAUUGCAUUGGCUUUCAUAUAAUAGCUAAAAAAGAUGGCCAAAGUGAGAUGUGUAAAUAGUGCAAAAAGUCAACGUUGCGAGUAAUUUGAGACGGAGGGAGUAUGAUUUUUAGGAUUGGGCAAAUUAUUUAGUAAUGAGCAAACUAUUUUGGAGUGGACAUUUUAUUAGGGGUGAAUUAAUUUGCAUUUGAUUUUUAAAGGUAAACAAAUUAAUUAGGAGUAAGGUAAUUGUAUAUGAUUUUUAAAGGUGAGCAAAUCUGUUAGGGGUGAGCAAAAUCUUUAGGGGUGAACAAUUUAUUCAGGGUGACCAAAUUCUUUAGGGGUUGCUAUUUUGGGAUGAGCAAUUGAUUUAGGGGUGAGGCAAUUGUAUAUGAUUUUUAGAGGUUAGCAAAUUAUUUAAAGGCAAGCAAAUUUUUUGAGAUAAUUGUACAUAUUUUAGGGGUUACGGAGUAAUACAAUGUUAUAUAAAUUACUUUACAAAAUAUGAUUCAUGGCCUAUUCCAAAAUCCUUUAUCCAACCCACUAAAUAGAAUCAAUUAUGAAAGGGAUAUUAACAUGUGACCCAUUUACUUGCACAUUAUCUUUAUUAGCCUACCUCUUUGGGCUCUUACUAGAUAAGCAAUAAUCAUAACAUGAGUACAACACUAUAUGUCCAAAUGUAGAACAAUAUACAUAGCUAAUGAAAUCUAUAAUUCAUAAAAUUAGAGCUUAUCUAAAUAUAUAAUAAACUAAUUAACUACAAUUUUCCUUAAUUAUCAAGUAUGGCUUCCAUCACGUUUUGUCAAUUGGACCGCGAGUGAUGCGCGCAGGAGGUCGGGACUAGUUAUAAACAAAAGUGUUUAUGCCUAUUAUUUAUACUUCCUCCGUUAACGGUUAUUUGCAACAAUUGUACCUCUUUCGUGGAGGUCAAUGCAAAACUUUUAAAGCAUGAUUAUUGAAAUAUAAGGGCGUGUAAUAAAGUAUUAAUCCUACAUAAAAAAUAAAAAUAAAAAAAAAAUUAAACAAAACCAGCACCACCACCGAAACCCAAAACCAGAACCACCACCAAAACCAUCGACAACCACCAGAACCACCAAACCCGUCGACCCUCAGAACCCGAAACUCCACCAAAACCCAACCACGAACCCAGCAAACCACCAUCAGAAAACCACCACACACCACGAACCACCCCACAAACCCAAAACCACCACCCAAAACCACCACAGAAUCCCAACAAACCACCCCACGAACCCAAAACCACCACCGACGCCAUCCUAAACCACCCACCUUUCGAACCCGAAACCGCCUAACCCACCUCCCACAAACCCAAAUCUGAAACCCACCAUUUCUCCAGAUCUGAAAUUGAGCGUCUUUCUUCUUCAAUUCAUUAAAAGUGGUUGAAGGAGAAGAGAGAAAGUUAAUGUUGAAGAGGAUGAAGAUGGAGAAAAUAGAUUAUGA